rnacentral:rRNA from 1 species
UACGUAGGGUCCGAGCGUUGUCCGGAAUUAUUGGGCGUAAAGGGCUCGUAGGCGGUUCGUCACGUCGGGAGUGAAAACUCGGGGCUUAACCCCGAGCCUGCUUCCGAUACGGGCAGACUAGAGGUAGGCAGGGGAGAGCGGAACUCCUGGUGUAGCGGUGGAAUGCGCAGAUAUCAGGAGGAACACCGGUGGCGAAGGCGGAUCUCUGGGCAGUAACUGACGCUGAGGAGCGAAAGCGUGGGGAGCGAACAGG